rnacentral:tRNA from 1 species
UCCCUGGUGGCUCAGAUGGUAAAGCAUCUGCCUGCAAUGCGGGAGACCUGGGUUCGAUCCCUGGGUGGGAA